rnacentral:rRNA from 1 species
CAGUGGGAGCACGCUUAGGCGUGUGACUGCGUACCUUUUGUAUAAUGGGUCAGCGACUUAUAUUCUGUAGCAAGGUUAACCGAAUAGGGGAGCCGAAGGGAAACCGAGUCUUAACUGGGCGUUAAGUUGCAGGGUAUAGACCCGAAACCCGGUGAUCUAGCCAUGGGCAGGUUGAAGGUUGGGUAACACUAACUGGAGGACCGAACCGACUAAUGUUGAAAAAUUAGCGGAUGACUUGUGGCUGGGGGUGAAAGGCCAAUCAAACCGGGAGAUAGCUGGUUCUCCCCGAAAGCUAUUUAGGUAGCGCCUCGUGAAUUCAUCUCCGGGGGUAGAGCACUGUUUCGGCAAGGGGGUCAUCCCGACUUACCAACCCGAUGCAAACUGCGAAUACCGGAGAAUGUUAUCACGGGAGACACACGGCGGGUGCUAACGUCCGUCGUGAAGAGGGAAACAACCCAGACCGCCAGCUAAGGUCCCAAAGUCAUGGUUAAGUGGGAAACGAUGUGGGAAGGCCCAGACAGCCAGGAUGUUGGCUUAGAAGCAGCCAUCAUUUAAAGAAAGCGUAAUAGCUCACUGGUCGAGUCGGCCUGCGCGGAAGAUGUAACGGGGCUAAACCAUGCACCGAAGCUGCGGCAGCGACGCUGAUGCGUUGUUGGGUAGGGGAGCGUUCUGUAAGCCUGUGAAGGUGUGCUGUGAGGCAUGCUGGAGGUAUCAGAAGUGCGAAUGCUGACAUAAGUAACGAUAAAGCGGGUGAAAAGCCCGCUCGCCGGAAGACCAAGGGUUCCUGUCCAACGUUAAUCGGGGCAGGGUGAGUCGACCCCUAAGGCGAGGCCGAAAGGCGUAGUCGAUGGGAAACAGGUUAAUAUUCCUGUACUUGGUGUUACUGCGAAGGGGGGACGGAGAAGGCUAUGUUGGCCGGGCGACGGUUGUCCCGGUUUAAGCGUGUAGGCUGGUUUUCCAGGCAAAUCCGGAAAAUCAAGGCUGAGGCGUGAUGACGAGGCACUACGGUGCUGAAGCAACAAAUGCCCUGCUUCCAGGAAAAGCCUCUAAGCAUCAGGUAACAUCAAAUCGUACCCCAAACCGACACAGGUGGUCAGGUAGAGAAUACCAAGGCGCUUGAGAGAACUCGGGUGAAGGAACUAGGCAAAAUGGUGCCGUAACUUCGGGAGAAGGCACGCUGAUAUGUAGGUGAAGCGACUUGCUCGUGGAGCUGAAAUCAGUCGAAGAUACCAGCUGGCUGCAACUGUUUAUUAAAAACACAGCACUGUGCAAACACGAAAGUGGACGUAUACGGUGUGACGCCUGCCCGGUGCCGGAAGGUUAAUUGAUGGGGUCAGCGCAAGCGAAGCUCUUGAUCGAAGCCCCGGUAAACGGCGGCCGUAACUAUAACGGUCCUAAGGUAGCGAAAUUCCUUGUCGGGUAAGUUCCGACCUGCACGAAUGGCGUAAUGAUGGCCAGGCUGUCUCCACCCGAGACUCAGUGAAAUUGAACUCGCUGUGAAGAUGCAGUGUACCCGCGGCAAGACGGAAAGACCCCGUGAACCUUUACUAUAGCUUGACACUGAACAUUGAGCCUUGAUGUGUAGGAUAGGUGGGAGGCUUUGAAGUGUGGACGCCAGUCUGCAUGGAGCCGACCUUGAAAUACCACCCUUUAAUGUUUGAUGUUCUAACGUUGACCCGUAAUCCGGGUUGCGGACAGUGUCUGGUGGGUAGUUUGACUGGGGCGGUCUCCUCCUAAAGAGUAACGGAGGAGCACGAAGGUUGGCUAAUCCUGGUCGGACAUCAGGAGGUUAGUGCAAUGGCAUAAGCCAGCUUGACUGCGAGCGUGACGGCGCGAGCAGGUGCGAAAGCAGGUCAUAGUGAUCCGGUGGUUCUGAAUGGAAGGGCCAUCGCUCAACGGAUAAAAGGUACUCCGGGGAUAACAGGCUGAUACCGCCCAAGAGUUCAUAUCGACGGCGGUGUUUGGCACCUCGAUGUCGGCUCAUCACAUCCUGGGGCUGAAGUAGGUCCCAAGGGUAUGGCUGUUCGCCAUUUAAAGUGGUACGCGAGCUGGGUUUAGAACGUCGUGAGACAGUUCGGUCCCUAUCUGCCGUGGGCGCUGGAGAACUGAGGGGGGCUGCUCCUAGUACGAGAGGACCGGAGUGGACGCAUCACUGGUGUUCGGGUUGUCAUGCCAAUGGCACUGCCCGGUAGCUAAAUGCGGAAGAGAUAAGUGCUGAAAGCAUCUAAGCACGAAACUUGCCCCGAGAUGAGUUCUCCCUGACUCCUUGAGAGUCCUGAAGGAACGUUGAAGACGACGACGUUGAUAGGCCGGGUGUGUAAGCGCAGCGAUGCGUUGAGCUAACCGGUACUAAUGAACCGUGAGG